AUUGAACGCUGGCGGCAGGCUUAACACAUGCAAGUCGAACGAGUGGCGGACGGGUGAGUAAUGCUUGGGAAUCUGGCUUAUGGAGGGGGAUAACUACGGGAAACUGUAGCUAAUACCGCGUACCAUAGGAUGAGCCCAAGUGGGAUUAGGUAGUUGGUGGGGUAAAGGCUCACCAAGGCGACGAUCUCUAGCUGGUCUGAGAGGAUGACCAGCCACACUGGGACUGAGACACGGCCCAGACUCCUACUGGAGGCAGCAGUGGGGAAUAUUGCGCAAUGGGCGCAACCCUGACGCAGCCAUGCCGCGUGUAUGAUGAAGGCCUUCGGGUUGUAAAGUACUUUCAGUCGGGAGGCGUUACCGACAGAAGAAGCACCGGCUAACUCCGUGCCAGCAGCCGCGGUAAUUC
rnacentral:rRNA from 1 species